GGUCAUUUUUAUAAAUUUAUCCUUUACAAAACUUUGAUUUUUUCGAAAAACUAAAGAUUUUCUUAUCCCAGGCAUAGAUUACCUUAGCCGUAUUUGGCACAACUUUUUGGAAUUUUGGAUCCUCAAUGCUCUUCAACUUUGUACUUGUUUGGCUUUAUAAAUAUUUUGAUAUGAGCGUCACUGAUGAGUCUUAUGUAGACGAAACGCGCGUUUGGCGUACUAAAUUAUAAUCCUGGUACCUUUGAUAACUAUAUACUGAUAUUUUCUUCUUAUUUUCUGACAAUUCUUAGACUAUUUUCAUUUUUUUCUUUGAUCUGUAUACAAAUAUGUUCAUUCUAUUGAUGCCAUCCGGCAUGGUAACCUUUUCCCACGACGUCACAAAUUUUAAAAAUAACAAAGUACUAUAAAUCUAUUAUUUAAG
rnacentral:lncRNA from 1 species